UACGUAGGGUGCGAGCGUUGUCCGGAAUCAUUGGGCGUAAAGGGCGCGUAGGCGGCUUCAUAAGUCUUGGGUGAAAGCCCUCGGCUCAACCGAGGAAUUGCCUUGGAUACUGUCGAGCUCGAGUCCGGAAGAGGCGAGUGGAAUUCCUGGUGUAGCGGUGAAAUGCGCAGGAUAAUCAGGAGGAACACCGGUGGCGAAGGCGGUUCUCUGGGCAUUACCUGACGCUGAGGAGCGAAAGUGUGGGGAGCGAACAGG
rnacentral:rRNA from 1 species